UGGCAGACGGCUGAGUAACGCGUGGGUGACGUACCUAUCGGUGGGGAAUAACUGCCCGAAAGGGUGGCUAAUACCGCAUACGUCCACUGAUUCAAUUCAGUGGGGAAAACCGCAAGGUGCCGAUGGAGCGGCCCGCGUCCGAUUAGCUAGUUGGUGGGGUAACGGCCUACCAAGGCUUUGACGGGUAGCUGGUCUGAGAGGAUGUCCAGCCGGAUCGGGACUGAGAUACGGCCCAG
rnacentral:rRNA from 1 species